rnacentral:rRNA from 1 species
GAUCCUGGCUCAGGACGAACGCUGGCGGCGUGCCUAAUACAUGCAAGUCGAGCGGACCUCUUCGGAGGUCAGCGGCGGACGGGUGAGUAACACGUGGGCAACCUGCCUGUAAGACUGGGAUAACUCCGGGAAACCGGAGCUAAUACCGGAUACUAUGUCAAACCGCAUGGUUUGACAUUCAAAGACGGUUUCGGCUGUCACUUACAGAUGGGCCCGCGGCGCAUUAGCUAGUUGGUGAGGUAAUGGCUCACCACGGCGACGAUGCGUAGCCGACCUGAGAGGGUGAUCGGCCACACUGGGACUGAGACACGGCCCAGACUCCUACGGGAGGCAGCAGUAGGGAAUCUUCCGCAAUGGACGAAAGUCUGACGGAGCAACGCCGCGUGAGUGAUGAAGGUUUUCGGAUCGUAAAACUCUGUUGUACAGGGAAGAACAAGUGCCGGAGUAACUGCCGGCGCCUGACG